GAAGCCUCCAUCGGUCGCUGGUGCCCCUCCAGCUUUCCUAUCAGCAUCCAUACUCGGCACAGUGAUUUACGGUACUAUAGCACUGGAAAGAGGUUUUGCUGCAGUUACUUUUAGGUCGCAGCAGACGAUCGCAAUUCGGGCGAGCUCACGAAUGCUUUUUGCACGCCCAGCCGCCGAUGUGUACGGCUGGCACGGGAAAGGAUGGGCCUCAAACUGUUAGCACCGGCAACUAACUGGUUCAAAGGCCCAAAGAGUUGUAAGCCCAAACAGAAAUCCAACGGCUCAGCGCCGGCGGCCAUGGCGGUGACGGCGGAGGCUACUAAGACCCCUUGCCGGCCGCCGGCCAACCUCCAGCGGCGUAGGGGACAGCGCCUACCCAGCUUCAUCGCUUCUCCCCCCGGUUGGCCAUAUGGUGGCCAGAGAGUACUCAAGAUUCAAGUUGCUCGGAGCCUGCAGAGUUUGGCCUAUGCAUCUUUUAGUUUGGUAUAUCUGUCUUCGAGUAUGUAGCUCGUGACACCUAAAAUGAUAUAACUCCCACAAUUGAUGUUGCAAUACUUCAAACCAUGACAAACUAUCAGCAUUUUUUACUGAAAAUACAUGAUGCCAGCGAAACUGAGAUCAUGAGAUCUAUUCAUCCGUAUCAGCUUCAGUCUAAGGUCUUGCGGUCUUCUAGUAUUGACGUACUGUUAGAUGACCAGCCAACGGGUUGGCCAUCCCUCAGUCCUCACUAGUAUGUCUGCACUCUUUCGGCUUUUCUCCUGUUUAGAAAAAAAAAACUAGACAAAACUAGGUGGCUUUUUAUUAAUAAGAAAUAGGCACCAAAAAUCACAUCGAAGAGGACUUCGACUUGGGUGGUCUAGGCAUAUAUCCACACGCUCAACCAACUGAGUAGGCUCAGUUCCUAUAGGCCUUUAUCCUGUUACAACAUCAAUGGUGAAUCUCGACUCUAGGAGCACAUUUGACCUGUUCUGCAGUUUGUCACUAAUACAAAUGUAUCAAUUGCUGUUAUAGCCACAUUUUACAGUACAACAAAAAGGAGAGGCGACAUAGACAACACCUAGGUAAAAACCGAAUAGGACUAGGGAGCAACAGUUGGAACUCACUUCAGGGCCCAAAAGACUUGGCAGCGUGCGUCCAUGUUAAGGUUUACGCAAAAGUGGGAAGCAGGGGAGACAUUGUGUUCAUAUACCUAAAGCCACAUAAAUUAAGAGGACAAGAAAUCUGUAGUUUGCUACUGUCAAAGAGAACAACAAAAUCUGUUGUUUGUUCUCUACACCCAUAUGUCCUGCUUUCCUUUCUAACAGAUUGCAAAAUAUUUAUUGAUAUCACUUGAAUGAAAAUACAACAUUUUCUUAGAGCUAUCCUUGUUUUCUCUCUGACGCAGAUAAGAUAGUGAGCUACUUUCUUUAAUCUUCUUAUAGAAAUGCUCUCUUAGACCCAAUUUGACCUAACGGAACAAGGGUUAUACUGCCUGGUAAAUUUACAUGCCUGGUACAUUCCAAUUUGACUAAUGCUACUCCUGGGAUAGCUUAGCUGAAGCUGAACUACCAGAGAGUAAAAUGUCUGCAUUAGGAUUCCCAAAUGGGGUUUCCCAGUGCAGCAGAGUCAAGAGAUGACUGAUGGUAAGAAUAGAUAUGCUCCUGAGGCUUCUGUUGCUCGUCAGAAUAGCUUAAUGCUGUCACAUCCGCGUUGUAGGUCUCAGAACUCAUAUCCAAAUUCCCACUGCCUCCUAAACCUAGAAAGUCUUGGGUUAAGGCAGCAUCUCCUACCCCUGAAAUGUUUUCCUGUCUGUUGUGCUGAGUCUGACUUUCAGGAAAAAUGCUGGGGAUCUCCUUUUCUGCGCUCAUGGCAAAUGGAUGGUUCAUUAGUCCAAUUAAGGGCACUGUAGUAGGUCUCAUGCAGCUGCUUGUCCAUGGUGAGUUCAUCAGAAUGUUACUGCGACCACUCAUGUAAGAGCCCUCAUCUUCAGCUGUCUUGAUGCCAACACUAUUAGCAGCUGAAUUCCCUAGGGAGUCCCCUUGGCUUACACUAGAUAUGUCCAUAUGAUCUCUAGUCACAUUACUUGGGAAACUUUUUAGAAGUAACGGCGAUAUAGGAUCAUGGCUGGUCUUUGCUCCCAUCUCUGCUGCUUUCUGUAGCAGUGCAGUUGCAGACAUGUAUGGAGAGUUCAUGGACAUGUAAGGGUAGCUCGAUGCGCUGCCAUCAAGUGGAAAACCUGAAUCCUUGGGUGAUAUCUGGUUGGAAAACAAUGCUGUGUUCCUUGUAAUGAGAGCAUAAGGGGACAUAGUUCUCAGAUGGCUGUCUGAAUUAUGGUCAUUGCAAGACAAGUUUGCGAUCACAUCUGUUGGUGAAGCAGUGAAGCUAGGUAUUCCAUGCGAAAAGAUGUCCUGCUGCUGACCAUGCAGACUUCCUACCAUUGUAGCAAGAGUGUGGUUAACCUUGGAGUUGUCUUCAGCCAAUGCAUCGCAGAAGGCUCGAUGUGUGAUGAAACUGUCCUUUCUGCAUUUACAUAAUAAAAUACAAAAUUGAAGGUAAAAUUUCAAAAGUUUAUAUGGGAGAUAUAAAUACUCACAUAUAACAUUUCCAGCAAUGCUAAAGGAUGUCAAGGAAUUGCAAAAUUCAAUUUUUCAUUGGCAUUGUGUUGCUUCAGUUUGACAACUAUGUGAAUGUGGUAAGCUUAUUUAUUUCUAACAAAUUGGAUUAUCCUUGUAACCAACACAUAAUUAAGUCUCAUAACUGGUGUGUACCAAGAGAAAUCAUGGGCCAUUUGCAGUUUCUCAAGUAAUCUUCCAGUUCAUGUAUCUCACAUGAGGCCAUUUAUAAGUAUCUUUUGAAGAUAUUUUAUUUUUUAUUUGAUACAUAAACCAUUGUUAUUAUGACCAGCCCUGCCCUAUGCAGUUACCUAACACUCAAGGACUCUAUCCUUUGCCCUUUUUUGUUUUGCUUGCUGCUGUUGUACCUAACUACUGCCUACUUGAAAUAUUUAGGCUUUGUAACAGAGGAAUAUGCAUUAGGUCACAUCAUGCACUUUUUUCAUUGAGUCACACGUGCAGAAGUAUGAAAGUAUGAUACAACAAUGUGCAUUAAGUUCAGAUAAUAAUCGUUCUACAGUCAAGCAUAGCUGGUUUAACUGCUGUGUAUAGUGUUGUUGGUUCAUGAGAGAGAUACCUUGAGAAGAUUGUUCCACAGUCACAUCGGUACUCCUUUGUGCCACAUAUCUUUGUGUGAGCCUUCCAGUCCGAUUGGACAGCAUACUUCUUUGAACACCUAUCGCACUUCCACUUCUUCUCCCCAUGCUUCCUGGAGUAGUGCUUUUUUAUGCCUGUGAGAUCACCCAAAGCCCGGCUUGCAUCAUGAUGAGGGCAGGUGAUCUCCGGGCAGACAUACACCUUCUUAUUGGCUUCAGUGCUGCUUCUCUGUUUCAGCUUCCAUGGUAGGUUAUGGCCUCUCCUGUGGAGCUGGAGGUUCUGGUCUCUCUGGAAGCCCUUAUGGCAGACCUCACAUAUGUAUCUGUUUGUUGCAAGGAGGGUCUUAGGUGACAAAGCCACUACUUCUACAUCAGGAUCUGCAAGAUGGAUAUCAUGAACAAAUGUUAGGUUGUCACAGGCAUGACAGUAUCACCUUUGCUUGACCCAGCUGCGCAACCUUCAAGCUUCGCUUGCUGCUGGAAAUUGUUCGGGGAUUCUUCCUCCAACGUGUGUGACAUUGUUUGGAAGACUGGAUACUGGUCCCAGAGGGUUCC